rnacentral:lncRNA from 1 species
AAAAAGGAAACUUUAUUGCCUCUUCACCAGUUGAAAAAUCAAUCCUCCCCCCCCGAACGCCCAAAUAGUAAGCCUAAGGUCAAUUGACUAAUUGUCACAUAGUCUCCACGCUUUUUGAAAGACAUGUUAUAAAAUAAAAAAGGAAACUUUAUUGCCUCUUCACCAGUUGAAAAAUCAAGCCAGUAGAUCUUCAAGAUUCUGG